CAGUCGCCGCGGUAAAACGAAGGGUGCAAGCGUCACUCGGAAUUACUGGGCGUAAAGCGUGCGUAGGCGGUGAGUUAAGUCUGCUGUGAAAUCCCCGGGCUCAACCUGGGAAUGGCAGUGGAUACUGGCUCGCUAGAGUGUGUCAGAGGAUGGUGGAAUUCCCGGUGUAGCGGUGAAAUGCGUAGAGAUCGGGAGGAACAUCAGUGGCGAAGGCGGCCAUCUGGGACAACACUGACGCUGAGGCACGAAAGCGUGGGGAGCAAACAGGAUUAGAUACCCCGGUAGUCCCUGUCUCUUAUAC
rnacentral:rRNA from 1 species